GUCACCAGGGAAAUACAGUAUGGCUGUCUCCUUGUCGAGCUUUACCGUCUUCUUCCAAAACGAAGGCAGAAGUAUCAAAAGAGGUGAAAACCAUUAUGAAUCGGGUCAUGUCGAGAGCUGCAGCUACUCGAAGGAAAUGGAGGGAAAAUGUGGUGACGUCAGGUAAGCGACUUGGACAGGCAGUCCGUCUAAUUACGUAUUUUCCCGAAGAAUUUUACUUAACUAUCUUGCGGCAAACUGUGACAUUCAUAUUGACAUGUAAAAUAAUU